GACGAACGCUGGCGGCGUGCUUAACACAUGCAAGUCGAGCGGUAAGGCCCUUUCGGGGGUACACGAGCGGCGAACGGGUGAGUAACACGUGGGUGACCUGCCCUUAGCUCUGGGAUAAGCCUGGGAAACUGGGUCUAAUACCGGAUAUGACUCCAUAACGCAUGUUGUGGGGUGAAAGCCUUGUGCGGCUAGGGAUGGGCCGCC
rnacentral:rRNA from 1 species